rnacentral:misc_RNA from 1 species
AACUAGCCCCGAUUGAAGCAUUUGUUUGAGCUCAUUUUUGUGAUUUCGGCGGCGGCUUUGCCGCCGCCGAAAUCACAAAAAUAGCGAGUGCGGAAAGCGGGAAAUAGC